ACAUUUUUGGUCUACCUCUCACCAAUCACUAUCUUCUUCCUCCUCAACUGUAGCUAGCACCAUCGUUCACGUGGGUCACCGUUGACGUUGUGCUCGUCCGUUCGCCUCAGCUAUGAUUUCUUUCACAGGUUGCUGCUGUUCAUCCGCCUCUGUCACUGAUUCAAGACGUGUAAAAGAAGAGGAUCUUGAUAGAAAUUGGAAAAAAAAAUUGGAGAUUUGAAACUGUAACAGCUGAUGCUGAUCCCCCUUGACCUCUGAAGGGCAAACUAGCUACAGUGGGUGGAAAUUUUUGAUUGGUACUGUUGCUUUUAGUGUAAAUAUAUAAUUUGUAUGUCUUUUUGAUUUAAAAAAAGAGUAAAUGCUCCACAUAGAUUAUUGAUAGACUUUGUUUUAGUUUGUAUAUUGGUUGCUGGCUGGAAGGAGUUACGCUCCUGAUUUAUACUGUUGUCUGUAAAAAAUUUUAUUGUAGAAUUUUCAGGAGAUC